AGAGUUUGAUCAUGGCUCAGAUUGAACGCUGGCGGCAGGCCUAACACAUGCAAGUCGAACGGUAACAGGAAGAAGCUUGCUUCUUUGCUGACGAGUGGCGGACGGGUGAGUAAUGUCUGGGAAACUGCCUGAUGGAGGGGGAUAACUACUGGAAACGGUAGCUAAUACCGCAUAACGUCGCAAGACCAAAGAGGGGGACCUUCGGGCCUCUUGCCAUCGGAUGUGCCCAGAUGGGAUUAGCUUGUUGGUGGGGUAACGGCUCACCAAGGCGACGAUCCCUAGCUGGUCUGAGAGGAUGACCAGCCACACUGGAACUGAGACACGGUCCAGACUCCUACGGGAGGCAGCAGUGGGGAAUAUUGCACAAUGGGCGCAAGCCUGAUGCAGCCAUGCCGCGUGUAUGAAGAAGGCCUUCGGGUUGUAAAGUACUUUCAGCGGGGAGGAAGGGAGUGAAGUUAAUACCUUUGCUCAUUGACGUUACCCGCAGAAGAAGCACCGGCUAACUCCGUGCCAGCAGCCGCGGUAAUACGGAGGGUGCAAGCGUUAAUCGGAAUUACUGGGCGUAAAGCGCACGCAGGCGGUUUGUUAAGUCAGAUGUGAAAUCCCGGGCUCAACCUGGGAACUGCAUCUGAUACUGGCAAGCUUGAGUCUCGUAGAGGGGGGUAGAAUUCCAGGUGUAGCGGUGAAAUGCGUAGAGAUCUGGAGGAAUACCGGUGGCGAAGGCGGCCCCCUGGACGAAGACUGACGCUCAGGUGCGAAAGCGUGGGGAGCAAACAGGAUUAGAUACCCUGGUAGUCCACGCCGUAAACGAUGUCGACUUGGAGGUUGUGCCCUUGAGGCGUGGCUUCCGGAGCUAACGCGUUAAGUCGACCGCCUGGGGAGUACGGCCGCAAGGUUAAAACUCAAAUGAAUUGACGGGGGCCCGCACAAGCGGUGGAGCAUGUGGUUUAAUUCGAUGCAACGCGAAGAACCUUACCUGGUCUUGACAUCCACGGAAGUUUUCAGAGAUGAGAAUGUGCCUUCGGGAACCGUGAGACAGGUGCUGCAUGGCUGUCGUCAGCUCGUGUUGUGAAAUGUUGGGUUAAGUCCCGCAACGAGCGCAACCCUUAUCCUUUGUUGCCAGCGGUCCGGCCGGGAACUCAAAGGAGACUGCCAGUGAUAAACUGGAGGAAGGUGGGGAUGACGUCAAGUCAUCAUGGCCCUUACGACCAGGGCUACACACGUGCUACAAUGGCGCAUACAAAGAGAAGCGACCUCGCGAGAGCAAGCGGACCUCAUAAAGUGCGUCGUAGUCCGGAUUGGAGUCUGCAACUCGACUCCAUGAAGUCGGAAUCGCUAGUAAUCGUGGAUCAGAAUGUCACGGUGAAUACGUUCCCGGGCCUUGUACACACCGCCCGUCACACCAUGGGAGUGGGUUGCAAAAGAAGUAGGUAGCUUAACCUUCGGGAGGGCGCUUACCACUUUGUGAUUCAUGACUGGGGUGAAGUCGUAACAAGGUAACCGUAGGGGAACCUGCGGUUG
rnacentral:rRNA from 1 species